rnacentral:pre_miRNA from 1 species
UUUUAUAGGUGAGCAAAGAAGGGGGUUUCUUGAGAUGGAAACUACUCCUGGUGAAGAUGCUGUGAA